rnacentral:rRNA from 1 species
AACGCGAAGAACCUUACCUGGGCUUGAACCGCACAGGACCCUCCCUAGAAAUAGGGACUUCCCGCAAGGGACCUGUGUAGAGGUGCUGCAUGGCUGUCGUCAGCUCGUGCCGUGAGGUGUUGGGUUAAGUCCCGCAACGAGCGCAACCCUUACUCAUAGUUGCUACCCGCAAGGGAGAACUCUAUGAGGACUGCUCCGGAUAACGGAGAGGAAGGUGGGGAUGAGGUCAAGUCAGCAUGGCCUUUAUGUCCAGGGCUACACACGUGUUACAAUGCGCGCUACAAAGUGUCGCGAACCCGCGAGGGGGAGCUAAUCGCAAAAAAGCGCGCUCAGUUCGGAUUGCAGUCUGCAACUCGACUGCAUGAAGCCGGAAUCGCUAGUAAUGGCGUAUCAGAUCGACGCCGUGAAUACGUUCCCGGGCCUUGUA